UACGUAGGGCGCAAGCGUUAUCCGGAAUUAUUGGGCGUAAAGAGCUCGUAGGCGGUUUGUCGCGUCUGCCGUGAAAGUCCGGGGCUCAACUCCGGAUCUGCGGUGGGUACGGGCAGACUAGAGUGAUGUAGGGGAGACUGGAAUUCCUGGUGUAGCGGUGAAAUGCGUAGAUAUCAGGAGGAACACCGGUGGCGAAGGCGGGUCUCUGGGCCGAUACUGACGCUGAGGAGCGAAAGCGUGGGGAGCGAACAGG
rnacentral:rRNA from 1 species